UGCCAGCCGCCGCGGUAAUACGGAGGGGGUUAGCGUUGUUCGGAAUUACUGGGCGUAAAGCGCACGUAGGCGGAUUAGAAAGUUAGAGGUGAAAUCCCGGGGCUCAACCCCGGAACUGCCUUUAAAACUACUAGUCUAGAGUUCGAGAGAGGUGAGUGGAAUUCCGAGUGUAGAGGUGAAAUUCGUAGAUAUUCGGAGGAACACCAGUGGCGAAGGCGGCUCACUGGCUCGAUACUGACGCUGAGGUGCGAAAGUGCCGGCAUCUAACCGGAUCAGAUA
rnacentral:rRNA from 1 species